rnacentral:rRNA from 1 species
UACGUAGGGGGCAAGCGUUGUCCGGAAUCAUUGGGCGUAAAGAGCGUGUAGGCGGCCCGGUAAGUCCGCUGUGAAAGUCCAGGGCUCAACCCUGGGAUGCCGGUGGAUACUGUCGGGCUCGAGUCCGGAAGAGGAGUGUGGAAUUCCGUGGUGUGAGCGGUGAAAUGCGGCAGAAUAUCAGGAGGAACACCAAUGGCGAAGGCAGCACUCGUGGGAGCGUGACUGACGCUGAGACGCGAAAGC